CCUACGGGAGGCAGCAGUGGGGAAUAUUGCACAAUGGGGGAAACCCUGAUGCAGCGACGCCGCGUGAGUGAAGAAGUAUUUCGGUAUGUAAAGCUCUGUCAGCAGGGAAGAAAAUGACGGUACCUGACCAAUAAGCCCCGGCUAACUACGUUCCAGCAGCCGCGGUAAUACGUAGGGGGCAAGCGUUAUCCGGAUUUACUGGGUGUAAAGGGAGCUUAGACGGGAGGGCAAGUCUGGAGUGAAAGGCGGGGGCUCAACCCACGGACUGCUAUGGAAACUGUCAGGGUGGAGUGCAGGAGAGGUAAGUGGAAUUCCUAGUGUAGCGGUGAAAUGCGUAGAUAUUAGGAGGAACACCAGUGGCGAAGGCGGCUUACUGGACUGUAACUGACGUUGAGGCUCGAAAGCGUGGGGAGCAAACAGGAUUAGAUACCCGAGUAGUC
rnacentral:rRNA from 1 species